UAUGGCCUGGGAAAGCAGUGGAAGAUGGCCCCUGCCCUUGGGCCCCUGCGCCCACAUGGGAGACCCAGAGGAAACUCUUGGCUUCGGAUGGGCCCAGCUCCAGCUGUUGUGGCCAUUUGGUUCCAGACAAGCUCAUCAUGGGGAGUCAGCGUGCUGUAGGUUAUAAACAAUGAAUGAACUCAGUCCUUGCUGCUCUCUGCUGUGGCCUGAGAAAGCAGUAGAAGAUGGCCCAAGUGCUUGGGCCCCUGCACCUGUGUGGGAGACCCAGAAGAAGCUCCUGGCUUCGGAACCGCGCAGCUCCGGCCAUUGUGGCCAAUUGGGGAGUGAACCAGCAGAUGGAAGACCCCUCCCUCCCUCUCUCUCUGCCUUUGCUUCUCUCUCUGUGUAACUCUGACUUUCAAAUAAACAAAUAAAUCUUAAAAAAAAAAGGGGGGGGGACAGCAGUGUCCUUGAUAAUACUAUGGGGACUUCUUUUAUCUAUAAAGUUGUAAGUAAUGAAUUCUGCAUGAUAUAAGCUCAGUAGUAAAGGCUAUAAGGCUGAUAUACCUGUUAAUUUACCUUUUUUCCACUGGCAGGGGUGGUAGAGGCUGAGGGGGAGAAGGUAUGAGGGGGAGAGGAAAAGGCCAAGAACAAGUAUAAGAAAAUCUAACUGAAAAGAACAAAAGCAGGAUAAAUUAAUAAAUCAUAUGAACCCUGGUUUUGACACACCUUAGUUCAAACCUGGAAUUCCAGCAGCUAUUAGCUAUGUGAUCUUGGGUAGGCACCUAACUCUCAGCCUCAGUGCUCUCUUCUACUACACAGAACUACCAAGUCAAAGGGCUAUUAUGAAGCUGAAAUGGGCUAAUAUCUAUUUAUAUGUCUAGUUGUCCAAUUAGUUCUCCCACCAGAUUAUAAACGACAAGGGAUGGAAACCAUAAAUAUUUUCUGUACCACUGUUUAGUAAGUCUAUGGCAAAUGCCUGGCACAUGUUAGACAUUCAGUGGGUGCUAACAUUAAGUUCUUUAUUGUGACAAUUUUAAUUACAACAAUUCCAUAACCUCUGCACAACAAUGCAAGUUUGAUUAUAUUCCCAAGAGAUCAGAGAUUACUAACUGGUUCCUUAUCUCACUGUUAAACAUUUAUAAAAUGAAUACUCCCUUCUACUAAAACUUUUAUUAAUCUAAGAGCCAUAAAGCCUUCCAAAUAUGAACAAAAACAAACAUUUAGAAAAGCAUGCCCUCGGAGACAUUACAUAGUUAAAUCUAUACUGAAAGGAAUGUGUGAAUAUAAUUUUUGACCUCUCUCCGAAAGAAAUUUCUCAACCAAGGGUGAUUUUGCCUCGAAGGGGCAAAUGACAAAAUCUACAUUUUUGACUGUUACAACUGGGGGAUGAGAGUGUUACUGGCAUC